rnacentral:lncRNA from 1 species
CCCCACCCAACCGCUGCUGCUUCGGGCUUCGCGGCUCAAAACAACAGCGGCGGCGCCGCCAGCUCCGCGCUCCGCCACUGCCCCGGCGGGCGAGCGGGCGGGACUCGGACCCGCCGCUCUCGGUCCCGCGCAGAGCCGCGGGGAGCAGCGCACCGGGCACAGGGGAGGCAGCGCGGGGUCAGCCGUCCGAACACCGGGGGCCCCGCACUUCGCCGCCCUGGGGGCGGGCCCACGCACUCCUGCCUCCGGGGCCCCCAGGUGAGUACCCAGUGGCGCAAGCGCCCGAGCUGGGCCACCUCUGGGGACCCGGGCCUCUGGGGACACUUCCCCCUCGCCUCUCGCGGCCCAGGUGCGUCACGGGCGGGAGGGCCGGCGGAGCAGGUGGAGAAGCGGAGGCAGGAGCCCGCCGCGGGCCUCUUCUCAAACUCGCAGGCGGGCAGCGGAGGGCCCCGCUGGGCGCAGGCAGGGUGUCCAGGCCCAGGGGCCUGGUGAGGACACUGAGAAUUCCUCAUUUGAGUAUGUGUGGGAUUCGAGAAAGAAUUGGAAGCAAACGCAGGCGCUGAACCCCGCGCCCUUUCCAGCACCAGGGUUCUGCCGGGCUGCAGGACUCGGAGCUGCCGCUGAGUCAACCUGAGCUGGAGAGGGUCGUGUUCGCGGUGCGGAGUCUCUGCAGCCCCGGCUGGGCUCCUGGCCAUGCCCCCGCCCCCCCCCCCCCCCCCAGGCCCCUUUGUUGUGCAGUGAGACCGGUAGCGCCUCCGCCGGAACCUUCAUUCGAACCCCGCGCCCUUGCCACAAAAGAGGUGAACCGGCCAGGGCCGAGGAGCCAACCCCGACACCGCAGGGUCCUAGCAGAGGCACCCCCGAUGGCGAGGGGCGCACGGCCAACGCCAUCCCCGAAGAGAAGCCGGGAGGAGCCGGGCUCGGCAGGCAGGAGCCGGCGGCGGCGGUGCGCUGGGCCUUCCGCCUUCGCGCCUCCGCAUUCUGCAGCCGCUUCCCCGCUGGGAUUCGAACCCGGACAGAGCCCCCACUGCUCGGGGCGACAAGUCUCGCGUUCCUCUCGCCUCCCCACAGAGAAGGUGCUCUCUGCCGGCUCUGAUUCUCACUGACCGCUGCCUCUGCUGUUUCCGGCCCUAGCUGGAGCUGUUUAUCAUCACUCCAACUUUCACUAAAAAGGAAAAACUAUCACUUAAACAAAGCCAUUGAAAACUCAGCAUCGUACAUGGAUUUCUCAACAUAAAUAAAUCCUGCAAACCCGGAGCUGUUCUCUCCGAGUGAUGUCACUCACUGAGGCUGCCUUCCCCAUCAAAUCGGCCGCGAGCUGUUCUCCUUUUGUGUGUGUGCUUUUUGCAAAAUCAGGAAAGCCGUGCUGACCUCCUUGCUGCGCUUUUUUCUCAGCUCUUCCCAGGACACAGAAAGGUCUCUCCCUGGUCGGCCCGGCAGAACCAGAUCUAAAUGGUGAAAACCGUUUCAACUGCACAGACUGUGUUUAAACCCUCUGCUUUGGAGUCAUGAGUUCCGAGUUGAAAGACUGGUAAAGCUUCCCGAAGAAUUUGGGCAGACCUCGGCAGAAGUUGAAGGAUCUCUGGGUCUCUCAGAGCCUACAACAAGCCUGGCUGCAGGCCAGUCACGCUGAAAUGAAUGAGCAACGUGAAAGUCACCAUGGGUGGGUAAAUGAGAUGUGGUCUCUCCGUACCAUGGAGGAGUAUUCAGCCAUAAAAGGAACAAGGUGCUGAUCCGAGCUCCCACAUGAAUGAACCUCGAAAACAUCAUUCUCAGUGAAAGAAGCCAGUCAUAAAAGGCCACAUAUUGUAUGAUUCCAAUUAUAUGAAAUGUCCAGGAUGGGAAAAUCCAGGGAGACAGAAAAUAGAUUAGUGAUCGCCAGAGCUGGGGGCGGGGGGGGGGCAGAAAUAGGGAGGAACUGCUUAAUGCGUACGAGGUUUCCUUCUGGGAAGGUGAGAAGGUUCUGGAACUAGAUCGUGGGGAUGGUUGCACAACAUGGUGAACGUGCUGAAUGCCGCUGAAUUGUACACUUUGAAACGGUGAAUGUUAUGUGAAUUAUAUCUCAAUAAAUCUGUUAUUAAAAAUAUCACUACUGAGCAUGCAUGUUUAAGAAUUUUUAUGCUCACCUGGAAAGCUCUUUUUAAAUUUUGAAAGGAGCACACAGCCAGAAGAGCAUGUCAC